rnacentral:tRNA from 1 species
AUGUCAUUCCAUGAAACCUUUCUUGAUCUCCCUAAUGGACUGCCAUCUUUCCUUCCUCUCCCCAUCAGGGCUUUGAAAUCUGAAUCUAUAAGCCCAAGCAAUUUGGCUGAGUUCAGAUUACAUCAACAGACUUUGGUUGGGAUUGGCCUAAACAAUGAAGUUACUGGGCAUUAUCUUGUCAUUUGUGGGGUCUCAAAUAUUGAGUUUGACUGAAUUAUUCAAUUUUGGCAUUGUCUAGUCACAGCUGGAUGGGUGCUGGCAAGAACUGAGAGGUUGGAGAUUGGACUGUGUGUGAAUUGGGCAGAUGGGGGCCUUAGUUGUAUGAGAGGACCAAGUGUAUUUAGUCUUUGUGCCAUAUUGGAGUUUCCAGGCUGAAUGAAUGUGCUUGGUGGAAGCCACAGGUACUCCUGGAUAUGUUGCAGAUCCAUCACCUGGUGGCUUCACUGUCCCAUUGACAGGCUGUCAUCUGGAAGAAGGAUAUAUUCUUGUUCUCUUGGGCUACAGAAGGUAGAAAUAGAAGGAAUGGGAAUAAGCUGUAAAUGGGCAAAUUUAGAUUAAAUGUAUGAAAAUAACAAUAACCACCUCUUCAAUAAUCAACUCACUAUCCAAGAAUGGAAAGUGCUGAUUUGGAAAAUACUGAGGCUUCUUCCAACUCUGCUAGUGUCUGACUCUGAUUCUACAUUCACUCAUUUUCUGUUGCAUAUUUUUACCUUUUUCUGUCAAAUAUUUUGGGCUCAUUGAUUUACUUCUUUCCCCUCUCCAUUAUGCCAUUUCCAAGGCCAAAUCCCAAUUUUGAAAACAAGGAUGAAUACAAGUGGUUUAUGAUGAUUAGGGUUUUUGUUAUCUCAUGUUUUGGUCCUCUGUCAUUCAUAGCCCAGGUGGCCAUUAGUGAAGCACAAUUACAGCCUCUCAGAUUUGGAAAAAACAAAUUAAAGAGAGUCAGUUAAGGAAGUCUCUGUCUCCCAUUUCUGAGUCAGGUGAAUAGCCCAGCAUGAAGUUAGCUGGAAGUGGUUCACUAGAUGUGAAUAUUUGCAAGCAUAUUAAAGUAAUUUCUAUAGAGAAGCUCAUAACUAACCCGGCUGUUGAUGAAAUUUUAGUUUCAGAAUUUAUUGGGCAGUUUGAGUAGCUAAGUGGCUUAGAAGAAAAAGCACCUGAUCUUGAGUCAGGAAGACCUGAGUUCAAAUCUGGCCUCAGACACUAGGUUUAUAACCUGGGCAAGUUCUUCACCUUUAUUUGUCUUAAUCCAUUGGAAAAGGAAAUGGUAAGUCAUUUCACUAUCUCUGCCAAAAAACCAAAACAGUCACCAAAAUUCAGACAAAAAUGAAAAAUGACUGAACUUGGUCCCCUGUCUUUUGCUGUUUAUACCUGAGUUAAAAAACCUUUUAUUGAAUCUCACCCUCUCUAGAUAUCUGUCUGGCCUGUUUCAGAGGAGGCCUUUUUAUACUACAUUUUUGGCCCUUCUUGAAAUAGUUCUGAUCAUUCAAUUUUCAUCAGUGACCAAUACUUUUCCUUAGUUGCCCAGUAUAGUGAUUAGAACUGAGAGGGAGGAUCCAAGCAUUUCAAUGAUAUCCCAUAUGUGAGAGCUGUUUUAGACAAGGGUAUUUUAAAGUGUGAGCACCAUAUGUCUUGUUUUACAGGAUGAACAUGGGAAUGUUUAUUAUAUGAUUAUAUAUAUAUAUAACCUAUAUUAUAUUACCUGGCUUCUUGGGGAGGUGGGAAGGGUGGAGGGAGAGAGAGAAAAUGGAUUACAAAAUGUCUGAAAAUGAUUAUUAAAAACUAUAUCGAGAUAUAAUCUGGAAAAUAUUUUCCUUUUUUAAAAAGAAGUGGUUAAAUGGCUCACUGUUCAGAGUAUUGGUCCUAGAGUCAGGAAGAACUGAGUUCAAAUCUGGCCUCAGACAUUUUCUAACUAUGUAACCCUGGGCAAGCCAUUUAACCUCUGUUUGCCUUGAUCCGUUGGAGAAGGAAAUGGCAAACCACUCCAGUAUCUUUGUUAAGAAAAUCCCAUGGACAGCAUUGAUGUGUUAUAGUUAGUCCUCAGGGCCAUGAAGAAUCAGACAGAGCUGAACAACAACAAAGCUAGCAUGUUAAUAUGGUAUUUGAUAAUUAAUAAACACUUCCUGAUAAACCUAAAUUAAUAAACC